UAAUACAGAGGAGGCAAGCGUUGUUCGGAAUCACUGGGCUUAAAGCGCGUGUAGGCGGCCCGUCAAGUACCUUGUGAAAUCCCUCGGCUCAACCGGGGAAUGGCUGGGUAUACUGACAGGCUUGAGGUUGGUAGGGGUGCCUGGAACUCUAGGUGGAGCGGUGAAAUGCGUAGAUAUCUAGAGGAACGCCCGUGGCGAAAGCGGGGCACUGGGCCACACCUGACGCUAAGACGCGAAAGCGUGGGGAGCAAACGGGAUUAGAUACCCCGGUAGUCCACGCCGUAAACGAUGCGCACAAGGUUCACGAGACUCUGACGUCGAGUGAGCCGAAACAAAAGUGUUAAGUGCGCCGCCUGGGGAGUACGGCCGCAAGGCUA
rnacentral:rRNA from 1 species